rnacentral:rRNA from 1 species
CGCAUCUGUGCAUGCAGCAUAUCAAUAAGCGGAGGAAAAGAGACUAACAAGGAUUCCCCUAGUAACGGCGAGUGAAGCGGGAAGAGCUCAAAUUUGAAAUCUUAAAGGGUUUCCCUUUACGAAUUGUAGUUUAAAGAAGUGUUUUCUGUUGAGGUUUUGGUAAAAGUUCUUUGGAAUAGGACAUCAUAGAGGGUGAGAAUCCCGUAUUUGACCUUUACUUUCAACUUUGUGAUACACUUUCAAAGAGUCGGAUUGUUUGGGAAUGCAGUCCAAAAUGGGUGGUAAAUUUCAUCUAAAGCUAAAUAUUGGCGAGAGACCGAUAGCGAACAAGUACCGUGAGGGAAAGAUGAAAAGAACUUUGAAAAGAGAGUUAAACAGUACGUGAAAUUGUCAAAAGGGAAGCGUUUGACACCAGUGUUGUUUUUCUGAAAAUCAAUUAAAGAACUGUUUAUGCUAAGUUGUUUAGACUUUAUCAGCUAACUGUUUAGUUUUGAGCUUUUCUUUAAUGCACUUUUCAGUUAACAAGUCAACAUCAAUUUCUUUUGCUGUAAAAAAGCUUGAGGAAGGUGGCUUGAGAUUCGUCUUAAGUGUUUAUAGCCUCUUGCCUAUGCAGUCGGAGAGAUUGAGGUCUGCAGCGUAGAUCCUUCGGGGCUAAAUGCAUUUGUGCUAAGUUAUAGCAUUUUAUAGACAACUUGUUGACUAUGAUUUGUCUUGUAGCUUACUCGCUUAUGUUAUUUUACCUACGCUUAGGAUGUUGAGCGCAUGUCUCUCUCU